UGGGGAAUAUUGCACAAUGGGCGCAAGCCUGAUGCAGCCAUGCCGCGUGUAUGAAGAAGGCCUUCGGGUUGUAAAGUACUUUCAGCGGGGAGGAAGGCGAUAAGGUUAAUAACCUUGUCGAUUGACGUUACCCGCAGAAGAAGCACCGGCUAACUCCGUGCCAGCAGCCGCGGCAAUACGGAGGGGGCAAGCGUUAAUCGGAAUUACUGGGCGUAAAGCGCACGCAGGCGGUCUGUCAAGUCGGAUGUGAAAUCCCCGGGCUCAACCUGGGAACUGCAUUCGAAACUGGCAGGCUAGAGUCUUGUAGAGGGGGGUAGAAUUCCAGGUGUAGCGGUGAAAUGCGUAGAGAUCUGGAGGAAUACCGGUGGCGAAGGCGGCCCCCUGGACAAAGACUGACGCUCAGGUGCGAAAGCGUGGGGAGCAAACA
rnacentral:rRNA from 1 species